CGUCCUAUUAGCUAGUUGGUGAGGUAAUGGCUCACCAAGGCUACGAUGGGUAGGGGUUCUUAGUGGAAGGUCCCCCACACUGGCACUGAGAUACGGGCCAGACUCCUACGGGAGGCAGCAGUAGGGAAUAUUGGUCAAUGGGCGCAAGCCUGAACCAGCCAUGCCGCGUGCAGGAUGAAGGCUCUCUGAGUUGUAAACUGCUUUUGUACAGGAGCAAAAAAAUCCCUGCGGGGGUUCUUGAGAGUACUGUAAGAAUAAGCACCGGCUAAUUCCGUGCCAGCAGCCGCGGUAAUACGGGAGGUGCAAGCGUUAUCCGGUUUUAUUGGGUUUAAAGGGUGCGUAGGCGGCUUAUUAAGUCAGUUGUGAAAUCAUAGUGCUUAACGCUAGAACUGCGAUUGAUACUAUU
rnacentral:rRNA from 1 species